rnacentral:rRNA from 1 species
GUAGGUGGGCAAGCGUUGUCCGGAAUUAUUGGGCGUAAAGCGCGCGCAGGCGGUCCCUUUAAGUCUGAUGUGAAAGCCCACGGCUCAACCGUGGAGGGUCAUUGGAAACUGGGGGACUUGAGUACAGAAGAGGAAAGCGGAAUUCCAAGUGUAGCGGUGAAAUGCGUAGAGAUUUGGAGGAACACCAGUGGCGAAGGCGGCUUUCUGGUCUGUAACUGACGCUGAGGCGCGAAAGCGUGGGGAGCAAACAGGAUUAGAUACCCUGGUAGUCCACGCCGUAAACGAUGAGUGCUAAGUGUUAGGGGGUUUCCGCCCCUUAGUGCUGCAGCUAACGCAUUAAGCACCCCGCCUGGGGAGUACGGCCGCAAGGCUG